AGAGUAAAACCGUGUCUCGACGAUCCGACGAUAUGCGAUAUGCCUUGAGAAUGGGAUGUACAGGGAAUUCGAGAUGAACAGACACAUUGAUGAUUGGCUCAUAGUGUUGGAUUGCUUCUCACGUUCGUCUCUCACAGAUUCAUCAUGUUGCAGAUGAAUGUGCUGGACCCUUAGUAUGUACUGAGCCAUCAGAUGCGAUCAGCAGGAAGAUUUUUCCUUCUAUUGCAGGAACCAGCCACGAGGGGUAUCAGGGCACCUCCCGCAUAAUGUGAUCACGUACAUCAGACCAUUUUCGGCUAUUCGCUGAUCAUAUCAUCGUCAUAUGAUCUCUCAAGUUGGAUAUG
rnacentral:lncRNA from 1 species